rnacentral:tRNA from 1 species
CGCGGGCGACCCCGGGUACACCAUCCCCGACGAGAACCUGAAGUCGAAGAAGCUCAAGGGCGGCGUCUACCC